GUGCUUGCUUCAGAAGCGCAUAUACUAAAAUUAUAAUGACACAGAGAAGGUUAGCAUGGCCCCUACACAAGGCUGACACACAAAUUCGUGAAGUAUUCCACAUUUAA